CGUGACACACGCGUCGUGGGCUAGUAACAAAAGCUAUCGGUUAUUUUUAUUUUUCCAGAGCUUGCGGAGACACUCUCAGAAGCGGUAAAACACGUGUCACCUUGCGGAGAACAUAAGCUCACGGCCAGCAUGGAGAUUCGUGCCAGCUUCCAGCUUCGAGCAAUCUGACUUUAAUCUUGAAUUGAAAAUGCUUAUAAUACUUUCAUAAGCUCUUAUUUACCACGUUGGACCUCAGCUUGAGCUCGUAUUAAAUAAGAGCUCGUGGAAUAAAAAACUUCUUUUUGAAUGUAUUGUCAAAAGAUUUUAAAAAGAUGAAAAUGCUGCAUGACUUGCAAUUUACAGCUUAAAGGUCAGCUUUGUACAGGACCAAUCAGUAAGACGCUGCCGUUUAGACUGACUACACUAGUUAAUAGUCAGAUAUUCCCUGUGGACUGUGAAAACGGAAGUAGAAUUCUUUACUGUCUAGCGUUCUCAAUGGCGUGCCUGUCCGUCGCCGGUCUCACACUGCCCCCCUGAUAAAUCUGGACAGUUUCUGCAGCUGUGGCAACCAAAGACCCCGAGGCAGGGCUUGUGCACCUGAGCCUGUGUGCAUCUCAGCUAGAUCAGGCCUGGAGCGUAGAGGAGACCCUAUGCAGAGAUGAGGAGAGAGGGACGAAUCGACUUUCUGCUUCAAACUGUCCAUCUUCUGCGUCAGUUGGUACUACAGGCAAUCAGCACAAGCCAUGCAUCACAGAAGGACCUCAGACGAAAGUGUGAGUGCACUGCAGAGGAACAUUCAUGGGAAAAAAACUGUUCUGUAGACAGACAGCUGGAUUUGAAGCACAACCUUCUGAGUGUGAAGCCGCCCCUGAACUGUGAGGCUUCGGAAUGUGCAACAUCGUGGGCUGUUGACUCAUCGUGUAAAUAACAGCAUGCCAAUGCAGUCGACCGGGCACUUGGGAAGGAACAGCCGUCAUGGGAGACUGCCGCCCCAACAGCCAGUGUCUGCGCAUCAAAGAGCGAUGCAGGGAAAUGCACAGGAGACCGACGUCUGCGGUGGGACAUGCGGCGGUAAUCCGUCAUGGAGCAAGAUGAAGAGUGAGGCCCCCUCUUUGGGUGGGACAACCCUCCUGGAUGUUUCGGGGCUGGAUUUCCAAGCCACUGGCAGGACGUGAUGUCGCAGCAAGAUGAAAGGGGUAGCUUAGGUGGGAUGCCCACCCCCAGACACAAAAAAAGCCCCUUCUGACAGGUAUCCUGUGCCAGAGAUCUUAGUCACAGCACACAACUCCUUCUGUGCCCGCUGAUCUGUGCCAUGACCUUUAAGAAACCAUAUGACCUUUCUUGACCUUUUUGAGCAGAUCAUGUGGAAAAGUUAUAUAAAUUAUCUCACCUGAAUAUCAUACCAUCUUUUCUUUUAGAAAUCAUUCUUGCAUACUUGUUAACAUUUAUCUUACAGGUUAUUUCCCCCACAUAUCUAUUAAAAAUAAAUUUUAGAAAUUUCAGCCUUGUCUGAAGAUUAAAAGAUUAAAAAUUCGGACAAACGAAUAGGCACCAAUGUGUAGGAAUACCGCUGUAUAAAUUAGAAAUUAAUGGUUCAUAGACAAAAUUUUCCAGAACCACUUAUCCAAAGCAAUGUUACUAGACCCCUUUCCAGGAAGGACAGGAUCCGAGGAACUAUGGGUAAGUUAAAGGUGAGAGGAAAGCUGUGCAAACAGGAACUGAAUCCACAUCCACUGCUGCUGGCUGAGCCACGAAGACACGUCCAGCUCUUAGGCUGUGAGUUAAGGGUGCAAGAUUUCUACUUAGAAGCAGUUUAGCACCAGCCCUACCUGGGGAAAAAAAAAUCUAUCUUUGCUAAUUCCCAUUUAUGGUGUACAGGUGGUUGAUCUUCCUCCUUUUCACUAAAGAG